GCUGGAUAGCUCAGCUGGUUAGAGCGAGUUGGAUAUAGCAUGGUGCUGAUAACACCAAGAUCACAGGUUCAAUCCCCGUAAGGGGCAGCU